rnacentral:rRNA from 1 species
UACAGAGGAGCCAAGCGUUGUCCGGAUUGACUGGGCGUAAAGCGCACGCAGGCGGUUUGGCGCGUGGGGUGUGAAAUCUGGCCGCUUAACGGCCAGGCGCCAUCCCAUACGGGCUAAACUGGAGUGAUGCAGAGGUCGGUGGAAUUCCGACGUGUAGCGGUGAAAUGCGUAGAUAUGUGGAGGAAUACCGAUGGCGAAGGCAGCCUCCUGGGCCAACACUGACGCUCAUGACACGAAAGCGUGGGGAGCAAACAGG